UACGGAGGGGGCAAGCGUUGUUCGGAAUCAUUGGGCGUAAAGAGUAUGUAGGCGGCUAUUUAAGUCAGGCGUGUAAGCCCACGGCUCAACCGUGGAAUUGCGUUUGAAACUAUUUAGCUUGAGUACAGGAGAGGAAGGCGGAAUUCCCAGUGUAGCGGUGAAAUGCAUUGAUAUUGGGAAGAACACCAGUGGCGAAGGCGGCAUCCUGGGUCUAGAUUGACGCUGAGGCUCGAAAGCGUGGGGAGCAAACAGG
rnacentral:rRNA from 1 species